ensembl:lncRNA
AGAGAAAUGAACAAAGGCAUGGAAACAAUCAGAAAUCAUCUGAGUGACAAGCAGAGUGAGUUACAGCAGCUGCAGUCACAGUGUGAGGUGUUUCAAAGAAAAAUUCAAGAGUCGACAGAAAAACUAACAUUGAGAGACGACCAAAUCAAAGCCUUGGUCAAAACAUUAAAAGCUGGAAAAGAUGAUAAAGAAGAGAUAUUUAUGAUAAAGAAGAAUGAAGUAUUGCAGCUUCAAAACCAAAUACAAACAUCUUGAACAGGCUGUGAGAAAGCUACUGAAGGAUCGUGAGCUUGGCUGCUGAAGAUCAGUUUGAGCGAGAAGCAGUGGAAACCGGUCAAAGCCGAGUUUGACCAGGUGUCUGCUGUACACUCAAACACCAAAGCCGAGCUGGACAGUCUAGAGCGCCAAACCUUUCUGGAGGAGCCGAAGAACACGGGGUUUGUCAAACACUAUGGCGUUCAAACAUGGGACAGCCACAGUAGUGAUGGGUAAUGUGCACAGGGAUAUAGCUUCCUGUGAACAGAGGAAGUCUCAUCACGCACAGAUUCACUCAGCACUGUUCACUCAACGCCAGGCUGUCAUGAAGGACACAGAGGGUAAUCUACAGGAAGCCCUAAAAGCCAAUCUGAGGUUAUCUCAAGAGUACAGAGAGCUGCAGAAAGCUCUGAUGAUUGCCAGUCAAGAAGCCGUUUGUGUUUUUACAUAAGAAACAGAGCAGAGGCCUUCAUCCAAGAUCACAAGCAGCUUUCUUUGUUGCAGAAGAGGAUGCACAAAGCCAUGCUAAAAUACUUCAAACACCGCAGCGUCUACAGCAAGGCAGAGCUGGCCCGCUUCCAGACCCUCUCCAACCAGAACAACCAGAAAAUGAAAGCCCUCCAGAAACCACUAGCAAAAGUUGUCCACCCAUCUAUUCAUGAGGAACCUGAAGGUUGUGGAUUGCAAAAACUAGUUCCACUGAUUUGUCCCUGUGUCUUCCUGAGGAUCAAAUGACUGCUUCUGAGCAGCUCUACUGAAGUAUAGAGAUGGGGGAAGAGUAAAACGAAAUAGAGAAAGCGUGCAAGCCUGUCAUCUUGAAACGCCGCUGCAAGAUUGGGCACUCAGUUCCGGGUUAUGCAAGUUUACACCAGGGAUAGCAUAAUUGACAAUUGCUAACAACAGAGAGCAGGGUGGAGAGUUGUGAAUGGCCAGUAAUAAUUGGAGCGAACGCCCACUGCGCCGCUCUCGGGGGACCGUAAUCCAAGAUCUUGUUUCUGAUAUAAUUGUUAGUCAGAAAAUUUCUGCAUGGCUAGGCCAGCUCAGUUCCCAAGCUGGUUGACAGUGCAAGGCAGUUUAAUAGAAAAACUGGUUGCUGAGGUUUUUUAAAACAGGCACGCACUGAACCCAUGCGCAGGAGUGUGACACACACCGUCUUUCCCAUAUCUUUGUUUUAUCUUUCUCAAUCUUAUGUCUUGAGAAAUAAAAGUGUCUCAAAUGUCAGUGUUGCUCUUUCGUAGGAUUAAGGGAAUGGGACAAAGUUUGACUAGUACAGUAAAUGCCGCAACUAAACUGUUUUACAGACAAAAAGCAUCUUUCUCCAGUGAGUAUAUGUGUAUUCUGACAAAACAAAAUGUAAGAUUAUAUAUUUUAUAUUUUUCUAUUAAAUUUUAUCAUGACAUUAUAUGCAGUGCUGUUCAAAAGUUUAGGCUACCUAAGAUUUUUUUUUUUGAAAAAAGUCUCUUAUGCUCAC